rnacentral:rRNA from 1 species
CGUCCUUUGACGUUAGCGGCGGACGGGUGAGUAACACGUGGGUAACCUACCUAUAAGACUGGGAUAACUUCGGGAAACCGGAGCUAAUACCGGAUAAUAUUUCGAACCGCAUGGUUCGACAGUGAAAGAUGGUUUUGCUAUCACUUAUAGAUGGACCCGCGCCGUAUUAGCUAGUUGGUAAGGUAACGGCUUACCAAGGCGACGAUACGUAGCCGACCUGAGGGGGUGAUCGGCCACACUGGAACUGAGACACGGUCCAGACUCCUACGGGAGGCAGCAGGA